CCUACGGGGGGCAGCAGUGAGGAAUAUUGGUCAAUGGGCUUACGCCUGAACCAGCCAAGUAGCGUGAGGGAAGACUGCCCUAUGGGUUGUAAACCUCUUUUGUCAGGGAGUAACGCCGUCCACGUGUGGCCGGACUGAGAGUACCUGAAGAAAAAGCAUCGGCUAACCCCGUGCCAGCACCCGCGGUAAUACGGAGGACGCGAGCGUUAUCCGGUUUUAUUGGGUUUAAGGGGUGCGUAGGCGGAAUGCCAAGUCAGCGGUAAAAUCGCGGGGCUCAACCUACCUCCGCCGUUGAAACUGGCAUUCUUUAGUGGGCGAGAAGUAUGCGGAAUGCGUGGUGGAGCGGUGAAAUGCAUAGGUAACACGCAGAACUCCGAUUGCGAAGGCAGCAUACCGGCGCGCAACUGACGCUGAAGCACGAAAGCGUGGGUAUCGAACAGGAUUAGAUACCCGAGUAGUC
rnacentral:rRNA from 1 species